AAUGAACGCUGGCGGCGUGCUUAACACAUGCAAGUCGAACGAGGCUGAGGGGGCAACUCCUCAGUUUAGUGGCGGACGGGUGAGUAACACGUGGGUAACCUGCCCGGAAGUGGGGAAUACCUCGGGGAAACUCGAGCUAAUACCGCAUAACAUCUUUAGGACGAUGGUCCUGACGAUCAAAGCGGGGUCGCAAGAUCUCGCGCUACCGGAUGGGCCCGCGCCUGAUUAGCAGUUGGUGGGUAACGGCUCACCAAGGCUUCGAUCAGUAACCGGCCUGAGAGGGCGAUCGGUCACACUGGGACUGAGACACGGCCCAGACUCCUACGGGAGGCAGCAGUGGGGAAUAUUGGACAAUGGGCGCAAGCCUGAUCCAGCCAUGCUGCGUGGGUGAUGAAGGCCCUAGGGUUGUAAAGCCCUUUCGGCGGGGAAGAUAAUGACGGUACCGCAGAAGAAGCCCGGCUAACUUCGUGCCAGCAGCCGCGGUAA
rnacentral:rRNA from 1 species